UACAGAGGUCUCAAGCGUUGUUCGGAUUCAUUGGGCGUAAAGGGUGCGUAGGUGGCGCUGUAAGUCGGGUGUGAAAUUCGGAGCUUAACUCCGAAACUGCAUUCGAUACUGCGGUGCUUGAGGACUGGAGAGGAGACUGGAAUUCAUGGUGUAGCAGUGAAAUGCGUAGAGAUCAUGAGGAAGACCAGUGGUGAAGGCGGGGUCUCUGGACAGUUCCUGACGCUGAGGCACGAAGGUCAGGGGAGCAAACGGG
rnacentral:rRNA from 1 species